AAUCAACGCUGGCGGCGUGCCUCAGACAUGCAAGUCGAACGCGAAACCUUCCUUCGGGAGGGGAGUAGAGUGGCGCACGGGUGAGUAACACGUAGGUAAUUUGCCUUCGGGUGGGGAAUAACAGCCGGAAACGGCUGCUAAUACCGCAUAAUGCAGCGGCUCGACAUCGAGACAGUUGUUAAAGCGGGGGAUUCGCAAGAACCUCGCGCCUGAAGAGAAGCCUGCGGCAGAUUAGCUAGUUGGUAGGGUAAUGGCCUACCAAGGCGACGAUCUGUAACCGGCCUGAGAGGGCGGUCGGUCACACUGACACUGACAUACGGGUCAGACUCCUAUGGGAGGCAGCAGUCGGGAAUUUUGGGCAAUGGGCGAAAGCCUGACCCAGCAACGCCGCGUGAAGGANGAAAUCCCUCGGGAUGUAAACUUCGUAAGAACAGG
rnacentral:rRNA from 1 species